UCAAUGCACAGUAGGGGAGGUGAAGGGAGUACCUGAUUAAAUUCGAUCCACAUUAUCGGCACCAGGAGAGAGGGACAAAGAGGGUCAUGCAGUUCAUGGGAGGCAAUGGAAGGAAAAAGAGUAACCUGGAGGUCCCUGGAGAGGCUCAACCCUAGAAGUGAUUGCAGCAAGGCAGGUGAGGAUGCAGCCUAGGACAACAGAGGUGGCACAUGGCAAGAGAGAUCCAGGAAGUCGGAUCAACUACAUUUGGCAACUUUUGGAUUUGGACCAGAGAAAGGUGGAAAAUAAAUGUUAAUAAUAAGAGAGUUGGAAACAAGGAGCUGUGGCCAUCCUGCCCCUACAUGCGGAAACACAGCAAGUGUUGGAGCUGACCCGUGGCUGCCCAUUUUAGACAGGUUUAAUGCCCUCCAGCCUGCCCGAGUCCUCAUGCCCAGGCCCACUGCACACCCCCAUUGACACUGUCUGCUGGUCCACGCGACCCCAGAGUUUUCCACUUCUCGUCUAGAGCCAGCCCCUCACUCAACAGAGGAGAAAUGAACCCUAGAGAGGGCAUGGGAUGAGUGGGUGCUGCCACUGUUAAAAGCAGCACCGUGUGGCUGCACCCCGGGGUUUGUGAGCUCCAAGAGGUGCUCAGUAACUGUUUACUGAACGACCAAAUACCCUUGCCCAAUAUUGCGCUAGGGUCAACAGCAGAUGCUGGUGUCCACCCACAGUGCCCACCACCCUGGCCACAGCACACCCCCCUUUAUCGAUCUCCUUGAUUAAUAAACAGUCCAUGUCGGAGAACAGGAGCGUAAAUCAUGCAUCUCUUUGUGCCCUUCUCCAUAUUUCUUCUUUUGUUUCUUGGGGAGAGGCUGAGGCAAGUCAACUCACAAAAAUGUGCUUCCCCUGAAUGGG
rnacentral:lncRNA from 1 species